GAUGAACGCUGGCGGCGUGCCUAAUACAUGCAAGUAGAACGCUGAAGGAGGAGCUUGCUCUUCUGGAUGAGUUGCGAACGGGUGAGUAACGCGUAGGUAACCUGCCUGGUAGCGGGGGAUAACUAUUGGAAACGAUAGCUAAUACCGCAUGACAACAGUUAUUGCAUGAUAACUGUUUAAAAGGGGCAACUGCUCCACUACCAGAUGGACCUGCGUUGUAUUAGCUAGUUGGUGAGGUAACGGCUCACCAAGGCGACGAUACAUAGCCGACCUGAGAGGGGGAUCGGCCACACUGGGAAUGAGACACGGCCCAGACUCCUACGGGAGGCAGCAGUAGGGAAUCUUCGGCAAUGGACGGAAGUCUGACCGAGCAACGCCGCGUGGGUGAAGAAGGGUUUCGGAUCGGAAAGCUCUGUUGUAAGAGAAGAACGAGUGUGAGAGUGGAAAGUUCACACUGUGACGGUAUCUUACCAGAAAGGGACGGCUAACUACGUG
rnacentral:rRNA from 1 species